AACGGCCUACCAAGGCGACGAUCGAUAGGGGAGCUGAGAGGUUGAUCCCCCACACGGGCACUGAGAUACGGGCCCGACUCCUACGGGAGGCAGCAGUAGGGAAUAUUGGGCAAUGGAUGCAAGUCUGACCCAGCCAUGCCGCGUGCCGGAUGAAGGCCCUCAGGGUUGUAAACGGCUUUUAUUCGGGAAGAAGAGCAGGGAUGCGUCCUUGUGUGACGGUACCGAAUGAAUAAGCACCGGCUAACUCCGUGCCAGCAGCCGCGGUAAUACGGAGGGUGCGAGCGUUGUCCGGAUUUAUUGGGUUUAAAGGGUGCGUAGGUGGCCUAUUAAGUCAGUGGUGAAAUACAGCCGCUUAACGGUUGAGGUGCCAUUGAUACUGAUGGGCUUGAAAUAAUUGGAGGCUGCCGGAAUGGAUGGUGUAGCGGUGAAAUGCAUAGAUAUCAUCCAGAACACCGAUUGCGAAGGCAGGUGGCUACGAUUGGUUUGACACUGAGGCACGAAAGCAUGGGGAGCAAACAGGAUUAGAUACCC
rnacentral:rRNA from 1 species